UCACUAGAAAACACAGGGUGUAUUCCGAACCGAAUUAGUUUAGCUUAUUUUUUUUCCUAGUUGUUUCCGUAACUAAACCGAAAAGUGUUCCAAACCCGUUACGUUUAACCUACAAAUUGUUUAACUAUUGCCUAUAGGCAGUAAAUGUCGUUAGUAACAACAGAAAAAAUGUAUCAUUUAGAAAUUCGAGACCACAAUGAAAAAAUGUAUAAUUUUCUGGUGACAAAAACCGUUUAUGAUUUAGCUCAUAAUGAUCUAUCAUAUGCAGAAAAAUUUUUGAUAAUGCAAAAGCAAAAAUAUUAUUUCGAAACAAAUCUGCAAUAAAUGACGAAACACACGAUAAUAAAGUAUUAAAGUUAACAAAUGGGUCAAAUACUAUUGAACUUCAUGUACCAAAUAAUAUUUUUAAACGUGCUACAAUGAUCCACAGUUUGGUGUACAACUGUUUAAUAAAUACAAUAAAGAAAUACUCAAGCAAAAGUCUCAUUGUAUAGGCACAAAUGUUUCUGAAGAUAGAGCUAAUGAAAAUAGACAGUUUGAUAAUUAUGAUGGAAGUGAAAAUAAUGAAAAUAUGGCUACGUGUAACACUACAGGUGCUUUGAGGCAUCAUUGGUCUACAGAGCAAACAAAAUUGCUAUUAUUUCUAUUUCGUCAACUAAGUAAAGAAAAAAUGACACAACCGCUUUUGAAAAUAUC